rnacentral:piRNA from 1 species
UCUGUCCUGCAAAAUGGUGUAAGGUC